GUCACUUUGGCCGAGUGGUUAAGGCGACACUUUGCUAUACAAGCUUCGUAAGAAGGUGUUAUCGUAAGAUGCGUGAGUUCGAAUCUCAUAGGUGACG